rnacentral:sRNA from 1 species
CUCCUUGCUUUCUCCCUUUGCCAGAAUUUGAUCAACUCUUCAAACUAAACAUCAACCGAAACCACCGGGGCUUCAAGAGGGUGAUCCAGAGCAAAGGCAUCAAGUUUGAGAUCUUCCACAAAGGGUCCUUCUUCAGAAGCGACAAGCUGGUUGGCACAGCACACCUGA